rnacentral:rRNA from 1 species
GAUGAACGCUGGCGGCGUGCCUAAUACAUGCAAGUCGAGCGAACGGACGAGAAGCUUGCUUCUCUGAUGUUAGCGUCGGACGGGUGAGUAACACGUGGAUAACCUACCUAUAAGACUGGGAUAACUUCGUGAAACCGUAGCUAAUACCGGCUAAUAUUUUGAACCGCAUGGUUCAAAAGUGAAAGACGGUCUUGCUGUCACUUAUCGAUGGAUCCGCGCUGCAUUAGCUAGUUGGUAAGGUAACGGCUUACCAAGGCAACGAUGCAUAGCCGACCUGGGAGGGUGAUCGGCCACACUGGAACUGAGACACGGUCCAGACUCCUACGGGAGGCAGCAGUAGGGAAUCUUCCGCAAUGGGCGAAAGCCUGACGGAGCAACGCCGCGUGAGUGAUGAAGGUCUUCGGAUCGUAAAACACUGUUAGUAGGGAAGAACAUAUGUGUAAGUAACUGUGCACAUCUUGACGGUACCUAAUCAGAAAGCCACGGCUAACUACGUG